rnacentral:rRNA from 1 species
CGUGUAGGCGGUUUGUACAGUCAGAUGUGAAAUCCCCGGGCUUAGCCUGGGAGCUGCAUUUGAGACGUGCAGACUAGAGUGUGAGAGAGGGUUGUGGAAUUCCCAGUGUAGAGGUGAAAUUCGUAGAUAUUGGGAAGAACACCGGUGGCGAAGGCGGCAACCUGGCUCAUUACUGACGCUGAGGCGCGAAAGCGUGGGGAGCAAACA